GACGAACGCUGGCGGCAUGCUUAACACAUGCAAGUCGAACGGAAAGGCCCUGCUUUUGUGGGGUGCUAGCGUGGCGAACGUGUGUGUUACCCGUGAGUCACCUUCCCUUUACUUUGUGAUAACUUCAGGAAACUGGUGCUACUACCUGCUUGUUGCUCCUGCUGCUUGGUGGUGGUUGGAACUUUUCGGCGGUUGUGGAUGGACUCGCGGCUUAUCAGCUUGUUGGGGGGGUACUUGCUUACCAAGGCAUUGAAGGGUAGCCGGCAUGGGAGGGUGGCCGGCGACAGUGGGACUGAGAUACGGACCAGACUCCUACGGGAGGCAGCAGGGGGGAAUAUUGCACAAUGGGCGGAAGCCUGAUACAGCAACGCCGCGUGCGGGAUGACGGCCUUCGGGGUGUAAACGGCUGUAGCCUGUGACGAAGCGGGAGUGACGGUAAUGGGUAAAGAAGCACCGGCUAACUACGUG
rnacentral:rRNA from 1 species